GUCCGCCGCGGCAGAUUCGGCACGGAACCCGGAAGCUGCGCCCCGGACACCGGGAGGGCUGCGGACAAACAGAUUGCUCCAAAACGCCUCCAGACUCUGUCGAGCGGCACAUUCCCAUGAAGUCGGAACACAUGGCACUGAAGCACGAAGGUGAUGGUUCAGAAAGUCAGCUCGAGGAACAAGAGGAACUCAUCACGAAGCCCUUCUGUGUUACAUCCAUGGCCUGCCAAAGUAAAGAGAAAAGCUGCACUAAAAAGGAGGGAAGGGAUUGUGAAACUAAAGAGAAGCUCUUCAGUUGCAUUUACCACCACUUUUAAAGA